GCUGGCAUCAGGCACACCAGAUGGCCCAAGACGCCUUGCUCAGCCACACCCCCAAGGAAUUCAGCAGUAAUAAACAUUAAGCCAUAAGUGAAAACUUGACUUAGUUAGGGUUAAGAGGGCCGGUAAAAUUCGUGCCAGCCACCGCGGUUAUACGAAAGACCCUAGUUUAUAGGCACGGCGUAAAGGGUGGUUAUGGGACAGACAAAAUAAAGCUAAAGACCCCCAGAGCCGUCAUACGCCCACGGGGGCGCGAAACCCAAAUACGAAAGUAGCUUUACCAAACAUGCCCGACCCCACGAAAGCUGAGAAACAAACUGGGAUUAGAUACCCCACUAUGCCCAGCCUUAAACCUAGAUGAAAACUUACAAAACCAUCCGCCCGGGGACUACAAGCACAGCUUAAAACCCAAAGGACUUGGCGGUGCCUCAGACCCACCUAGAGGAGCCUGUUCUAGAACCGAUAACCCCCGUUAAACCUCACCACCUCUUG
rnacentral:rRNA from 1 species